AGUAAGGCCCUCAGAACUACCAAUCCCAGGAUGCACGGCGCCCGCGCCUGCCGAAGGCCGCAGGGACUGCUGGGCAAUGUGGUUCGCCAAGCUUGGCGUGUGCGAGGGAAGUUAGCAGUGGGCCGGGUUCCUGCAGAUCUUCCCGCGGUUCAGUCUUCCUGGAAUCUGCAGGCCUUCCAAAAGCUACGGUAGCGACCGUCGUGGCCCGUGCCUUACACGGCCCCGGUCCAAAGGAGCCCUGGGAAUGCCAUCCUUGAGCCUCUAGGACCCACCCAUCUUCCAGGGGAAACACACUGCAGCCUGUAAGCCUAGGCCACGACCACCUGCCCAAAGUCCUUGCGACUCCCUGAGAAGGGGAAGGAAGAGGAGAAAGCCAGCCAAAUAGGUAAACAAAGAGAAAAGGCCAGAGUUCAGACGGCUAAGCGAUAAAGCCUGGGACUGCCCGGAGCAGAGCGACCGACCAGAGCCGAGCUUGAGACCCAGGCUUCCGCGGCUCCCAGCUUCUGCCCGAAGCCAUCUUCUGGCUUGAAAUCCACCUCGGGCGCCUGGCUGCUGAAAAUAUUCUUGGUGAAAGCAGCCGGUUCUCAGCAUCGCCUACACUCGGCGUGCGGCGCGCCAGCCUCCUCACAUCACCAUGGCAACGGGGGACCUCUGCAUCCAUCGCCGCGCUGAGAAGAGAGAGGUACCGGAGAGGCGCAAGGGAAACGCUCAUGGCAAACAGCCGGGGUGGCCGGGAAUCGCUGGGCUUCCUCGCCAGGACUCAAGAUGCAGUCCUCCGAACUGACCGGCCCCUCCCAAGGGGCGUUGUCCAGGUGCUGUAUACCCUGGAGUGAAUCGCUUAACCCUCGCUAGGCAUCACUUUUUUCGCCUGUGAGAUAAAAAUAAUAGUAGCACCCACUUCACGGGGUUAGUGUAAGAAUCCAAUGAGGUAAUGCAUACGCAGCACUUCAAAGAGCCAGCGCUCAAAAAUGCAGUUGUUGGGGCCCGCGAUGGGCGCAGCAGAUGCAGCCCCUACCUGGGACACCCGCAUCCCGCAUUGGAGUGACUGGUUCGAGUUCUGGCCACCCCGCCCUCGAUCCAGCUUCCUGGUAAUGUACAUACCGGAGAGGCAGUGGAUAAUGGCCCAAGUGCUUGGGUUCCUGCCUCCUGCGUAGGGGGGCUGGAGUUUCAGGGAUCUGCAGAGUCCAGAGCUCAGUGUCCCCAUUCACUCCUCUUUUCUGUGUGUCCCUGUACCCAACACAAUGCCACAGGCAGCAUCUCAUUAGUGACACUGAGUCCCUGCAGCAAGAGUGGCAGAGAGCUUAUCCCCUACUGUGGUCACUUGGGUUUGACCACAAUGGAAGGAAGAAAAAAAAAAAAAAAAAAAAAAAAACCUUGUAAUUAAAUGAAUCUGUGAUUCCUGCAUAAUGGAAUUCAGUUAUAAUGGUGUGGGGCUUCUUUAUGGAGUAGUAAAAAUAUUCUAAAAUGGAUUGCAUGCAGUGCUGUUUGGCCAAUGCUAUGAAUAUACCAAAACCCACUGAGCUGUGCAUUUUAAAUGUGAAUUGUGUUUCGAUAAAGCUGUAACUUAAAAAUAAUCACCACAACCCAGGUUCUGGGUCCAGAGGUGGCACCAGUGAAAUUCUACCACACUUUCAAAUAAGAAAUAACGCCAAGUUAUCAUAAAUUUUCCCAAAUAAUAGAAACAAAGACUGCUCUCUUCCACUCACUUUUAGGGCAAGUGCAGUUUUGAUACCAAAACCUGAUAAAACAUUACAUAAAUGGAAGAUUACGCUCCUGGUUACAGACACAAAAACUAUAAACAAUAUGUAAGCCAACAGUACCUAUCCAUUUACGGAAAGGAUAAUAUAGCAUAAUACCUUUACCUCAUUCCCAAAAUGGAAAGUUAUUUUACCAUUUGAAAAUUAGUGUAAUUCACUGUAUUAACCAAACAUGUGAGAAAAAUCCCAAUUAUUUUGUUCAUGUAUAUGGACUCUUGGUUAUGAUGAAGGGGCACUUCAGAGAAAUAGAUACAGAAAGGUGUUGGAUUAAAUCCAAUGUUGAUUCAUUGUGCCUGCUGAUUGAUUUUCCUAGUAAAUCAAGGAGUGAAAGCUUUUUUAAUUCGAUAAAAAGUAACUUUGAAAUUCCUGUGAGCAAACAUGAUGCUUAGCGGGGAAAGGCUGAAACAUUUGAAUCAAAUCGCCCCCAACCAUUUGCCCAGCCCUACUGACACUGUUUACUAUUAGGACCUGAAUGUCCUAACCAGCAUAGGAAAGCAAGACAAAGGAAUACAAGAUUUGAGAAAAAGCAAAAGCAAACAUGCUAUUAUUCACAGAUGAUACAAUUGUGAUAUAGAAAAUCUAGAGAAAUCUAUAAAUAGAGUGCAAGAAUUACUAAGUGGAAUGGGGGUUAAGCAGCUUUGUCUGAAACCAGCAACCCAAAUGGGAGCACCAGUUCAAGUCCUGGCUGUUCCACUUCUAAUCCAGCUCCCUGCUAAUGUGCCUGGGAAAGCAGCAGAAAGUGGCCCAAAUACACCCCUACGUGGAGGACCUGGAUGGAGUUCCAGGCUCCUGGCUUAGGCCUGGCCCAGCCCCAGCCAUUGCAGCCAUUUGGGAGAUGAACCAGCAGAUGGAAGAUCUUUCUCUGUCUCUCUCUGUUACUCUGCCUUUCAAAACAGGUCAAUUAGCUUUUUUAGGAAGAGGUGAUAAGUGAGUUUAGGGGUAUUGCUAAAGACAAGAUUAACUUCCAAAAAGUCAAUUUUGUUCUUGUAUGUCAGUAACAAACAAAAAAAAUUUGAAAAGAUGGUAUUUUCUGGACUGGUGCUGUGGUGUAGCCGGUAAAGCUGCCAUCUGUGACGCCAGCAUCCCAUAUGUGCACCAGUUCGAGUCAUGGCUGCUCCACUUCCAAUCCUUCUCUCUGCUAUGCCUUGGGAAAGUAGUAGAAGAUGGCCCAAGUACUUGGGCUCCUGCACCCGCAUAGGAGAUCCAGAAUAAGCUCCUGGCUCCUGGCUUCAGAUCAGCCCAGCUCUGGCCAUUGUAGCCACUUGGGGAGUGAACCAGCAGAUAGAAGAUCUCUCUCUCUCUGUCUCUCUCUGUCAAUGCCUCUCUGUAACCCUGCCUUUCAAAUAAAUAAAUAAAUCUUUA